rnacentral:rRNA from 1 species
ACGCACGCUGGCGGCGUGCCUAAUACAUGCAAGUCGAGCGAAGUUUUUCCGGUGCUUGCACCGGAAAAACUUAGCGGCGAAAGGGUGAGUAACACGUAAAGAACCUGCCUCAUAGACUGGGACAACUAUUGGAAACGAUAGCUAAUACCGGAUAAUAGCAUUAACUGCAUGGUUGAUGUUUAAAAGUUGGUUUUGCUAACACUAUGAGAUGGCUUUGCGGUGCAUUAGCUAGUUGGUGGGGUAAAGGCCUACCAAGGCGACGAUGCAUAGCCGACCUGAGAGGGUGAUCGGCCACACUGGGACUGAGACACGGCCCAGACUCCUACGGGAGGCAGCAGUAGGGAAUCUUCCGCAAUGGGCGAAAGCCUGACGGAGCAACGCCGCGUGAGUGAAGAAGGAUUUCGGUUCGUAAAGCUCUGUUGUUAGGGAAGAAUGAUUGUGUAGUAACUAUACACAGUAGAGACGGUACCUAACCAGAAAGCCACGGCUAACUACGUG